GAUAACGCUGAUGUUGCAGGCGAGCACAGCCACGAUAAGCAGCAGGAGCAUCGUGGCGUACAGCUGAAGGUAAUGAAGCUACUGUUGCUUGUCCAGGCCACACUUUCAGAAGUGUUGAUCUAGCAUGCCUGCCUGAGUUUACUGGAACACAGAAACUCAGAGACAGAAAGUGGUCAACUGCCAUGGAACUGAAAGGACACAGAUUCCUGUCACCUGGUGGAUCCCAUGAGUCACCUGGUGGAUCCCAUGAGUCAUACGAUAGAUCCCAUGAGUCCUAAGCCACUGAACAGCUACAGAGUCUGCUGGGAAAGCAUCGACCCAAACUUCCACCAUCACUGAGCGGGAAGAGAGAAUGAAGAGGUUGGGGAAUCUGAUAAUUGAUCUCUAGAAGAUGAUCUGUGAGAGGGAUGAACUUCAUUCAGUCUUGACCCAUUACACCAAAAAGGAUUUGAACCACAGGUCUGAAAUACUCCGGCAGAAGAUCAAACAGGGCAUAGACAAGUGCUCUCUCAGACAGAACUCUUCAAGGGGAGCACUGGGUGUGCAAAGCAAGUGAACCAUCAUUGCAUCUCAUCCCUGUAACCAUGGCAAUUUUGGGCUGCAUUUCCUUUCUUCACUUUGGUUUACUAUUUGUGAAUAGGCCUUGGCUUUGUCUAGCCUCUGACCCAUCAAUAGUGCUUCUGGGUCCGAUUGCCUUUCCUUCUCUGACAGAACCCUUGAGAGAACUGUGGAGGGGGAAAGAAUGCCACUGACAACUUGGAGCACAACAUUCUCUGCACUAGGAUCAAAGCCUCCUCAGAAAAAGUUACCUCCUUAGAGAUGUGAACUCAACAGGGAGGCAAAUACCAACUGAUGUCUGGUAAAGCAGUCAGAAUCUGAGCCACUUGUCUGUUGGCUAACUACUCCAUGGGGAAAGAAAAUUAGAUCAAGAUACAUAAAACUAGGUACAAGAAUUACUCAGAACUCUGACACUCAACAAGUCAUACCAGCAAAGGCACAAUAUAUAGAGAAUAGGUUGUUGGGAAAGUACUACUCUCCUAGGGGCUUUGGCAAGCUGAGUCUUCCAUAUGUGGUGGUGAAUCUGUCGUGGGAACAUGUUGAUGCCACACUCUUUUCCAAACAGACCACACCCAAAAGCAUAUUUUUUCUCAGUUUAGUGUUGAAGGUAUUCCAUGUUACAUAUGUAUGUGAUACUGAAGUUAAUGUUCUUUACAGAUGACAGAGAUCCCUCUCUCCUUGUGUUAGUCAUUUAUUUUUCCAUAAAGAGAACUGCUGGGUAUUCUUCAGUCUCACACCUGGAUUAGAAUGAUUUGUUUUGAAAAAACCAUUUAUAGAGGACAUCCAGAUCAUCUUUGACAUUUGGGGGCAGGAGGAUGCUCCCUCUGCAUUUGUUGUGUCUAGAAUAAGCACACACAGACAUAGGUUGACUGAAUCAUGUAGUGGCCAACACAUUACAGGAUUAUCCUGCUAUGGACUUUAUUUUUUAUCACAGAUCAAAGGCUUUGCAUGAAAUGCUGUGAAUAUUAUGCCAGAAGUGGGUGAUAGGUUUUCAGGCACUAUCCAUUAGGGCCUCAAAGAAUGAUCUAGAAACUCACACAUAAUGAUAAGCCUGUGGCCAAUAGGAACUAUAUAUCAUUUAGCUGGCAAACUAGAUAUUAUGAUGUUCAAGGGCUAUGUGGAGUGUUGUUAGAUAAUGUGAAAUCAGCUAAAAAAGUGUAUACAAUAUGCCAACUGAAAAUUAUCCAGAGGCUGUGUGGUGACUUUCAUCCUGCACAGAGGUUGACUCUCAGCUUCAUAGAUUCUGAGGAGAUCCAGCUGAGUAUUGAUGAAAGCUACACUGGAAUCUUUUAUUCAAUUUUACUGUUUUUUACGUACUCACUUUACACCCUGUUCACUGCUCCUCCUUUCAGUUAACUCCUCCCAUAAUCCCUCCCCCUCCCCUUCUUCUCAGAGUGGAGGGAGAGCCUGUGUAUGCCCCCUACCCUGGCACUGCAAGUCUCUUUGAGGCCAGACAAGGCAGCUUAGCUAGUAGAACAUAUCUCACUUACUAGCAACAACUUUUGGGAUAGCUAAUACUCCAGAUUUUUUAGGACUCACAUGAAGACCAAGCUGCACAUCUGCUACACAUCUGGGAGGCCUAGGUGCAGCCUGUCUAUGUUCUUUGGUUGAUGGUUCAGACUCUGAGAGACCCAAGGGUCCAGGUGAGUUGACUCUGUUAGUCUUCUUGUGGAGUUCCUAUCCCCUUUGGGCCCUGAAAUCCUUCCUCCUAUUCUUCUUAAGAGUCCACAAGCUCCAUCCACUGUUUGGCUGUGGGUAUCUGUAUCUGUUUGAGUCAGCUGCUGGGUGGAGCCUCUCAGAGAACAACAUGCUCCUGUCUGCAAACAUAACAAAGUAUCAUUAAUAGUGUUAUCUAUAAUGAUAGUGUUUUACUGUCUGUCCAUGGGAUGGGUCUCAAGUUGGGUUGCUCAUUGUUUGGAUAUUCCCUCAGUCUGCUCCCUCCCCUGAGCCUGCAUUACUUGUAGACAGGAUAAACUUUGGAUUGAACAUUUUAUGGGUGGGUUGGUGUCUCUAUCGAUCCACUGGGGUUCCUGUCUAGCUACAGAAGGUGACCUUUUUAGUUUCCAAUAUAGUGAGUCACAGAUAAGAUCACUCCCUUUGAUUCUUGGGUGCCUCCCUUAUCCCAGGUCUCUAUUUCUUGCCUGGAGCUGCCCCCCACCUCCUCACCCUCAUCAUUUGCAGAUUUCCAUUCAUUUUUGUGGUCAUCUAGCCAUCUCUCCUGUUCUUCACUACACCUGAUCCUGAAUUCCCCAUUUCCCUCCCUUUUCUUUUUUCCUUCCAAUUCCCUCCCUGAGCAGCCUGCCAUCCCAGGGGACUUCCAUUCUCCUGCUGCCUCUCCUCUACCUCCAUCAGACUCCUGAACCAUACAGGUAAGCUUCCCUUUCCCCACCCAUCUCCCCAGCUGGCUGAGACCUCUGGGCCAAGCCAAGCUGCUCUGAGCAGCCUGCCAUCCCAGGGGGAAUCUCUUAUACAUCAUGUGACAGUACAACUAGGAAGAAGCAGCAAACAUGACAAUCAGUGGGCGUGUCCUGAGCUUGCCACUAGUGUGCCUGUAGCUGAUUAGGUUUGGGCAUGACGCUCAGAUGGUGAAAAUAUCAACAUCAAUGUUAAUUUUUAGUUUUCAGAACAAUCAACACUUGCUGAGUUUUUGGAAAAAAUAGAGUCCAAGGAUCCCAUAAACUGUUCAACAUGAAGCCCUAAUUCCAGUGGAAAGAAUAAUGGUGAAUUUUAUGUGGUUAAUCUGUGCCGAGAGGUUUCAGCAAAUGGUGUAAUUUGAGGUAAUUCGGUGUUAAAGAAGCAUGUGAAAGAUUAGUGCUAACUUUGAAGAUGUAUGCUCCUAAAAUAUGCAGCAUGAGUUACCAAAGACUGAUCUAGACACCCAUCUAUAGCCUAUAAACCACUGACUUGAUCUCUGUUGUGUGUGGCAUUCAGGAUUUAUCCAGGAUAUGAAGUGUAUACUCCACAAGUAAGCUAAAUCCAGUGUCAAUGAGAGAAUUUACGAUUCAUAUUCCUCUCUUGAUAAAACAUUCUAUGAAUGGUGGCUGCUUACAUUUUAAAAUUUAAGAAUGACCUGAAAACACUAACAGUUGAAUCUCACUGUGUAAACACAUUUCGGAGAUGUCUUCUGGCUCAAUUUUGACCCCGUGUGCCUGCAGUUGCUCAGUUCUAAGGCUGUGAGAUUAUACCAGGUCAUUCUUGCAUAUAACUGUCUAGGGACAGGAAGAGCUUUGAGAAUUCUUAAAGCUGAGAAUCUAAGAAUCUUCACUGUAAGAAGCUUAAAGUGAAAAGCACAGACUUGGGAAUGGACAAAGCCUUCAGUUCAUAAAACUGAGCAGCCAGUUCAGAGCCAAGGAGAACUCUAUCCAGACAAGCACUGUUAUGUGCAGGAUAUGUUAGUAAAAUAAAAAAAAAAAAAAGCUGCAGCCUUCAGGAAGACUUUUGGUGCUAGAAAUUGCAUGCUACAAAAUUUUGAUACAUAUCAAGAAAAUAAGCUUUGAAAUGAUUAUCUCCUUAGGAGUGGAAAGAUUUGAACUGAGUAGAUGCUGUGGCCCUGGUAGAAAAGGGAAGUGAGUUUUCACACAGAGAUAAGAACUGCCCUCUUGCUGAAUAUGCACUUGAGUGGGACUCAGUGAAGUGCUGAGGCACAAGAGCUGCUGGGCAUCCAGGAGGAAUCUGAGAGUGUACAUUGUUGCUUGUCCUGAUGGGUCAUCAAGAGAAUUUAAAAGACUUUGAGCUAAAGCAUGUAACAUGUCUCAUGCUUAGCGUUGGCAGACCUUAUUCUUGAACCCUACACCCCAUCCAGGAAGCAUGUUGCAUCUUAAGAGUAUUGCCAUUAGUGACUGCAUUUCUGUUAUGUUUCCAAGGCCAGCCACAGGCUGUAGGUCUGUGCUGCUAAAUCUGCAGCAAGAGAAUAAUGCUUAGCUUAAUCAUUUUUGGGGGUGGUGGUGGUGGUGCUUGGUUUGAGGUUUUGCUAUUUGUUUUUUUUGUUUUUUUUGUUGUUGUUCUUGUAAUUGAUUUGCUUUGGUUCUAGGGCACUGCAUGUAUUGACUGCCCCCAUUUAAGCCCUACUGAGUGAAAUGAAUGUAUUUUUAUAAAUAAAAAAGUUAUCUCC
rnacentral:lncRNA from 1 species